AGUGAACGCUGGCGGUAGGCCUAACACAUGCAAGUCGAACGGCAGCACAGUAAGAGCUUGCUCUUACGGGUGGCGAGUGGCGGACGGGUGAGGAAUACAGCGGAAUCUACUUUUUCGUGGGGGAUAACGUAGGGAAACUUACGCUAAUACCGCAUACGACCUACGGGUGAAAGCAGGGGAUCUUCGGACCUUGCGCGAUUGAAUGAGCCGAUGUGGGAUUAGCUAGUAGGCGGGGUAACGUCCCACCAAUGCGGCGAUCCGUAGCUGGUCUGAGAGGAUGACCAGCCACACGGGAACUAAGACACGGUCCAGACACCGGCGAGAGGCAGCAGUGGGAAAUAUAGCACAAGGGGCGCAAGCCUGAUGCAGCCAUGCCGCGUGGAUGAAAAAGACCUUCGGGUUGUACAGUUCUUUCGACGGGGAGGAAGGGAGAAAAGUUAAUACCUUUGCUCAAUGACGUUACCCGCAGAAGAAGCACCGGCUAACUCCGUG
rnacentral:rRNA from 1 species